AGAGGUCUCAAGCGUUGUUCGGAUUCAUUGGGCGUAAAGGGUGCGUAGGUGGCGCCGUAAGUCGGGUGUGAAAUUUCGGAGCUUAACUCCGAAACUGCAUUCGAUACUGCGGUGCUUGAGGACUGGAGAGGAGACUGGAAUUCAUGGUGUAGCAGUGAAAUGCGUAGAGAUCAUGAGGAAGACCAGUGGCGAAGGCGGGUCUCUGGACAGUUCCUGACACUGAGGCACGAAGGCCAGGGGAGCAAACGGGAUUAGAUACCCCGGUAGUCCUGGCAGUAAACGGUGCACGUUUGGUGUGGGGGGAUUCGACCCCUUCCGCGCCGGAGCUAACGCGUUAAACGUGCCGCCUGGGGAGUACGGUCGCAAGAUUA
rnacentral:rRNA from 1 species